AAAAAGCGUGCGAGCGGUUUAGGCUGUGCAAGUCAAACGUGGCGGAAUAAUAAUAAUAAAACUAACAAUUACAAUAGGUUGCCUUCGCACUUUGUGCUUGGCACCCUAAAAAUAUGGGGGCAGGACUAGAUGUCUGGUGUCUGGUUACCAGACCCCAGAAGAACAAAAUGUCUAACGUGUCCGGUCAGACCUUGUCGUCACGGUUGCGACGGAGUUUCUCCUACUUGGUAAAAAUGUUUUGGGAAGUAGUUGAGUUCGUCGGCUAUUACUUCACGACAAUAGUGGAGAUAGAUCGUUGGGGUAAAAUUGUCCCUGGAUCAUCACGGUUCCCUGAUGACAGAGAUCCUCCAGGUGGCGGGCGCAUGGGCAGGAUAUACUACAGGGGAGGGCCCGAUCCCCCACCAAUGGGAUGAGGAAGGCAAGCGCCUACACAUCCAAUGUAGGCGAUGGGCGCAUGGCAUGUUAACAUGUCUGCAAUCAUGGUCAUUGGUUGCCUCUGCCGUUGGCAGAUUUUGAUGCCAUCCUGGGAAUUCCUACAUUGUAGGGGCCAGGCUGGCUGAUGUGGCAGCCGACUUCAGCUCUGCUCUAUCCGCUCACUUGCCUUCAUUCUUUCUGCUACUCACCAUUUACUAACCCGGUUGCUCAUUACAAACCAUGAAAUAUACAUUGAUGAUGAAGUUAUGAUGUUGAGUUAUGUAUACAUAUAAACAGCUAAAUUACUAUUUACAUCACAACUGUUUAUUUGAGAAGUUUCAAUUUGACUUUCGUCCUCACCACAGCACUUAUACAGCGCUAGUUAAAGUUUUUAAUGACCUAAGAAUGAACAUGGAUGACAAGAAACUGUCAACAUUAGUACUUUUAGACUUAAGUGCUGCUUUUGACACAGUCGAUCAUGACUACAGCAUUAUGUUGGCCUCUUCGGUUCAGUUUUAGACUGGUUUAGGACUUAUUUGUCCGGCAGAGACUAUUUUGUUUCCAUUGGUGACCAUUUCUCGGCUAACACUAGCAUAAGAUGUGGGGUUCCUCAAGGCUCCAUUUUGGGACCUGUCCUGUUUAAUCUGUAUAUACUACCACUGGGAAAUAUCAUCAGAGAACACAGGUUUCAUUUUCAUAGCAAUGCCGUAUACACACAACUUUACAUAUCUUUAUCACCCAAUGACAUCAGUCCUAUCGAUAAACUGGUUGAAUGCAUUGAUCAUAUCAACCUGUGGAUGACAAGUUAUUUCCUACAAUUGAACAAAGACAAGACAGAGGUCUUAAAUAUCGGGGCAAAGGACCAGAGAGAGAUACUGUGUGCUAAUUUAAAAUCCCUGGUAGAAAACGCCAAGCCCCUAGCAAAACUCUUGGUAUGAUUGUAGUCCCUGAUUUGAAUUUUAAAUCUCACAUUAGUAAUGUAACGAAAACCGCUUUCUAUCACCUUAGAAAUAUUGCUUAAGUGCAACCGCUUCUCUCCCAGGCAGAUACUAAGAGACUAAUGCAUGCUUUUAUUAGCAGGCUUGAUUAUUGUAAUGCACUCCUAUCUGGCCUUCCUCAAAAAGCUACAAAAAGAGGCCACAGAUCAUACAGAAUGCAGAGGCACGUGUACUGACCAAGACCAGAAUGAGAGCACACCUCUCACCUGUCUUAAAGUCCCUUCAUUGGUUGCCUGUCAGAUUUAGAAUCGAUUUUAAAAUCCAUUGUAGUGUACAAAACCUACCCACUACAGCAUACACUACAUUAUUCUAGUGUAUUCCCCCUCUAGAUCCUUAGGGUCCUCUGGCACAGGCAUUUUAGUUGUUUCCCGGGUGAGGACAGGGACCUACGGGGAGGCGGCUUUAAGUGUCAAUGGUCCUCGCCUCUGGAACAGCCUCCCACAGGAGCUGAGGACUUCACAAUCUGUAACCACACUCAGAAGUAACCCUAAGACAUACCUAUUUCGCUGAGCGAAAUAGGUCUGUGUAUCACCAAGUGAUAUAGAUACAGAUACAUUUUGUGAUCUAUAAACAUAGAGAUAUUUUUUUUUAUACUAUUGAUUUACUUAUAUUAUCAUUUAUUUUCACUGUAAUGUUGUAUUCAAAUUGUACUGCUGUAUCUUUUUGCUGUUCUGUUAAGCACCUUGUAUUGUAACUUUGCACGAAAGGCGAUAUAUAAAUAAAGUUUGUAUUAUCUCACCCAAGGUCUCUUCU